UACAGAGGGUGCGAGCGUUGUUCGGAAUUACUGGGCGUAAAGAGCUCGUAGGCGGUCUGUCGCGUCGGCUGUGAAAACUCGGGGCUCAACUCCGAGCUUGCAGUCGAUACGGGCAGGCUAGAGUUCGGCAGGGGAGACUGGAAUUCCUGGUGUAGCGGUGAAAUGCGCAGAUAUCAGGAGGAACACCGGUGGCGAAGGCGGGUCUCUGGGCCGAUACUGACGCUGAGGAGCGAAAGCGUGGGGAGCGAACAGG
rnacentral:rRNA from 1 species